GGCCCUAUCGUCUAGUGGUCAGGACAUCAGUUUCUCAAGCUGGGAACUCGGGUUCAAAUCCCGAUGGGGCCG
rnacentral:tRNA from 1 species